UGGUUCUGGAGGUGAUGCUGCUGGGCUGGGUGGUGUGUGGGGGAACUGGGCUGUGGGUGAUGGCAGUAAGAGGGAGAAAGCUUGGCUGGGCACCUCAGGGGGAGCAGGGGUGGCACUAGGGGAUGGUGGUGCAGAGAGGUGACACUGAAUAUUGGGGGGCAAGAAUGCUGUGCCUUUUGGGAGGGGGGAUGGACUUGGGGAGCAGGCUGUGCCCUAGUGGGAGAGGAGAGGAUGGCUCUUCUUGGAGCCGGACUAAGCCCUGAUUCAUAAUUUCUAAUGCCAGAAGGGGUCAUUGUCUAGUCUAACCUAAUGCACGACUCCAGCCAUAGAACUUCCCUGUACUAAUUCCUGCUUCCAAUCCAAUAGCUGUGGCUGAAUUAUAGCAGAGCUUUGGAAAACAUGCAGUCUGGAUGAAAGAAUUUCCAGUGAUGGAGAAUUUCACCUCUGCCACAGAUGGCCUCUGAACUGACACCAGUUUAUCAACAUCCUUGAAGUGUGAAUAGCUGAGCUGUGGUAUUCCAGAUGUGCCACAUGUCAGCUGAGGUUGGCGGCCUGUCUUUACUCUAGAAGUGGCUACAUUUCAGAGGAGCAGUCUGUCCCUACACUGAGGUGUGCUUUGAGUUCUACAUGUAAAAUAGAGAUGGGCUUAUAGAUGUAACGAGAGCUGGUCAAAAUAUUUCAGCCAAAGGUUGGUUUUAACGGAAGAUAGCUAUUUACUGAAAAAAAAUGCACAGGAAAUGGCCAUUUUUAAUUAAUUGGGGGUGGUCAUGAAAAAAUUAUUUUUAUGCUAAAAAAAAGCCAUGCUCGAUUGGGACAUUGGGGAACCCACAAAUUUGAUUGUACUGAAAUUUUCUGCCUGACUGGCUGAAACUUGGUUUCAUAAAACUGAAUUCAUGGAGGAGUUUUGAUUCAAACAUUUUCUGGGGUUGGAUGGAAAGGGAAAGAACCCUCCUGUCCCCCAUUUCCUAACUUGCCUUAUACCCAACCAGUGUUCCCUGUAAGCUGAGCUCACGGGCGGCCACCCAGGAGACAUUCAUUGAUUACCAGAGCGCCCACAGCAACCACAACCAUCAGCAUGUGUUUCUAUUGGUGGUGCGUAUCAGCAUAGGUUUUGGUGCACCAAACAAAAUUUAUUCUGCACAUGGAAGGAAAGAUUUAGAGGGAACAUUGGACCCAGCCCCUUUAAAAGUUUGCAUGCAAUCCUGGGCCAGUCUAGAAUCCCUGAUCUGAACAACUUUUGAACUCUAUAAGUUUGCUUCUUUCACUUUACAUGUUGACACUCUGUUCAGCCCAUUAGUAUCUGGCUGGCUGACUCCAGCUAUCAGUUUUUGGUUUAGGUUCAGCUCUCAUAGAAUCCUGACAUAGGGAAAUAUUUACUAAGAAAAUUGAGAGUUUACUGUGAAAAUUUACCCUGGUUUAGAGUCCCACAGGUUCAGUAGAUUCCAGAUCAUCAGCCAAGAUAGUCAGGAAUCAUGGUUUUCACCUGCUGUGUUCAAUUGUAGUGGGGUGGGUGCUGCCCCACUUAUGCCUCUUUGUAUUGAGGGCCAGUUUGAGAGAGGGAAAUGAUUGCACCAUUGACACGGGCCAUAGCACUGUCUCCUUUUACUAGUCCAUGGGAGUAAAAGGGUCAAGUUAUUUAAGAAGUAACGGGCUAAGAAUUAGUGAGCAUUCAGGCAUUGAAUGGGGUGACAUGUCUCAUUUCAGCCAGGUCUGCUUUCCAGCAAGGCCAGAGAGCAGGUAAGGAAUCUGUCACUAGAUCACAUUCUCAUUGAAACUAGUGACAAAACAUGUCCAUUGGCUGUAAGGCAUCGUUCUCAACAUCCUGGAGUACGCAGUCAGCAUAGAGACAGUAGCAGGCCCUCUCUCAUACAAGGAGUGGGGGUCAAAGGGAAGUCAGCAAAGGAGAGUGAGAGAAGAAGGAAGGGGAAAGAAAGUACAGAAGAGGAAACAGGGGCGGGCAAAGGGAAUAGUAACUGGAAAGGGUAGGAGGGAGACUGGGGCUGGAAAGGAAAUGAGGCAGAUGACGCACUGCGAAGGAGAGGGGGGAGCAGCAAGAAAAGGAGAAAUCAGGGGCCAAACCCAACACAAAGAACAAACGUUAGAAUUAGAGAACAACCCCUGUGAACAUGCAGAGCAGAGGCCGAGUUGGCCAUGGGCUAGGACGACUAAGCAAGGCUGAGUGUGUGUAUUAAGGGUAGGGGGUGAUGGGCGGGGUAGAUCUGUCCUAAUUGGAGGGGCUUAAACCCCCAAAUCAUUGGGAAUCACAUCCUGUGUGAGCUGACACUGAGUCUGCAGAGUGUUGUAGCAUCUAGUGGGAGGGAGGAGAAAGGAGGAAGUGCUACUGAGUGAGCUGAGAUAUGAAAGUACCUCUGAGGUUUAGAGCCAGUUUGAGACAGGGGACAGUGGCAGGAUACAAAAGACAGAGGAGGGGGAGGGGAAGAAGGCUCAUGCUUCAAGGUCACAGAGAAAAGGGCCAGAGCAUUUAGAGUUUGUUUUCUUUGCAGCACAAAGCAGAAGUCAGCUUGCAGUUCUCCUCAGGGGAAACAAGAGGACAGUCUUACCGAGCAUGGAACUUGGUUCUGGCUUAUGUUCUAAUGCAAACAGUCCUCACCUAAUACUUGAGUUCAUUUGUUUUGUGUCAGGUAAAUAGAGAAUCUCCAGUUAUCUGGUGCUUCCAAUGGAGAACAUAGUUCAUGGAAUAACAAGGCAUAAGUCAAUAUUGUGGUGAUGUGAGCAAGAGCGCAGUGUGGCUGUAGAUUAGUUUUACUUUGUGGUAGUAAGUCUGCUGCUCCUGAAAGUAAACAGGAAAGUGAUUAAGGGCCAAAUUUUGCUGUUGUAAUUUGGUCAGUUCUCCUCCCCUGCCCUCUCCCCGGCCAAUUGGUCCCUAAGUAAUACCCCAGUUUUGUGUUGGAUUUCCCAUCCUAUUUUCUCAAUUUUGACAACCACACAGAAUCUGGCCAAAUUCCAGAAACUAUUUUUAAAAAUAAUCUCUCUCAAUAGAUACUGUUUGAUGCCACAGGAGGCGGCGGGGGGAGGGGAGAAGCAAUUCAAACUGAACAACUUUCACCGCUUUGCUGGAUGUUUGUUCUUACAACAGAACAAAUCCAUAACAAGUAACUCAAAUGCUUGACUCUGUAAGGAGCCAGAACCCCUGGGGAAUAAAAUUACUCGUGAACAGGGUUCCCUCUAAUUUUACUCACCCAUGUGUGGAAUGCAUUUUUUUUAUGUGCACCAAUAUGGAAGUGAUGUGUGAUGCAUUGUGUCCGUAUUUGUGCACCAAACAAAAUUUAUGUGGCAGGGAUGAAGCUAAGAGGUUCAGAGUGUGGGAAGGGGCAGAGGGCUAAGGUACAGGCGGGUGAUGGCCAGUGUUCCCUGUAAGCUAGGAGUUUGUGCGGCCACUUAGGAGAAAUUCAGAUGCCGCCCAGCUGACUACCAGAGCGCCCGCAACUAGGUUUUGUGUUUCUACUGGUGGUGCACAUUCGCACAUGCCUCGGUGCACAUAAAAAUGUAUUCUGCACAUGGAUGGAAAAGAUUAGAAGGGAAUGUUAGUGAGGGCUCCAGCUGGGGGUGCUGCCUCUGGGAUAGGGUCAAGGAUGAGAGGUUUGUGGGGUCAGGCUGCGUUGGAGCUGUGAUGUGGGGAGAGGGCUCCCCUCAGCUUUCUUUUCCCCCACACAACACUUGGGUUGUGCAUAGAGACACCUCUCCCUAGGCCACAGCAGGUCCAAGCCAGGCCUGGCUGGGGCCGGGGGAAGGGUGCCUCUCUCCUGGCUGUGGCACGUCUGGGCCAGGCUAGGUUGGGGUCAUGGGACGGGAACACCUCUCCCCUGGCUGCAGCUGGGCUGGGUUCGGGCCAGAGCUUCUCUCUCCACCACAGCAGGUCCAGGGCUGGAGGAGAGGAAUCUCUCCUCACUGCAGCCCUGAGUGUCUGCACAGUGCUUAACAGGUUGCCACGCGGCUUAGAGGGAACUUAGCUCAUGGAUAUUGUAUCAUUAAAGAGGGGAACAAGCUGUGUGUGUGAGGCCUGCAGCGUCCUACGUCUGUGCGCCCUGGAUUCCCUUCUCACACUUCACCCCCCAAACCUGACAACAAGCAAGGAAAACGACACCAAAAAGCCCAGUGGCCUGGAAGGAAGCCAGAAAUGUGGUAGCUCCAAGAGGUCGCUCUCUGGGAUCAGGCCUCCUUUGUUCUAGAUGCUGAACAAACAAGAAGAGAAAGGCAGUCCAAGCUCCAAAGGGCUUAUGGUCGCAGAAGAUGAGACCACAAAUGAAGGCGACAAACAGCCAGCGGAGCGCAAGGAAACAGACGCUGCUGGUCAGCAUGAUAAGCGGCUGUCCCAGUGCACCAGCUUCCUGCUCAUUGUGGGCACGGGAGGAGCGGGGAGGAGGUCUGUGCUACGGGCUGUCUGAACUGCCCCAGGAGUGUCCUAAACAUACUGGCGUAGGGCUUGACCUUACACCAGUGAAGCUACAGGGAGUCAGCGCUAGCAGCACAGGGGGCAAGAUGAGACCUCUCCCGGGUUUAUGGCUUGGGGUGGGCCUGCAGCAGAGAGGAUGGCUGCAUGUUUCCGUGUGAAGCUCCUCACUUCCUUGAUAGGAAAAAGAAAGAUUCCUACAUGGGAUGAGUUCUUAGCACAGCCCUGUUAAGAACCAGCUAGCUUCCUAUUUGAAGCCAAGCUGUACAUCCAGAGAAGGCACCCGGCUCCUAUGACAAGGUUACUAAUCCCUUCCCGUAGCCUCAUCUCAGGGGAGAUCACCCCUCUACCAUGAGCCUGCCCCCAGCCUAUUCCCCACUUGUGCACCAUGGGCCCUGUGUGUCCUCACCUGGUGUAAAUUACCAGGGCUCCACUCUCUUCAGCAGGGCUGUGGGGAGUUGCAGCAGCAGCCGCACAAAGGAGCUGCAGCAUGCCAGCUCCACAGAGCUGGGGGUAGCAGCUGGCCUGUCUUCUUGCCAAAUCAUUCAUGAAAGAUCCACAAGAAUUCUGGAAGGGAGAGUUUUUUUUUUUAAUCCUGGUACUAUCCCUUUAAGCAACACAGAAAUGCUGUUAAAACAACAGGCGAAACGUGUAAAAAACCUCACGUGCUUCCCCCUAGAGACUCCAACCCAGACAAAUCAAAUCUCUUCAAAAACUCAAGCCUGUGUCUCUGGCAGAGCUGAAAUGAGGACAGGCCUGCAGAAUGACUGCGCAUUAAAGUCUGGAAACUGAGGGCCACAUUCAGCCUUACUUUUAAAAGAGAGUUGGGCAGAACCAAGAGAUGAUCUAAUACACUAGUUUUACUCUUCUCAUUGUGAAGUUGCUCUAAUUUAUCAUGAUCAUUAUUUAUAAAGUCUGUGACAAUUUGACUUUUGUCUUUUGUGACUUUUGCUUUGUCAAUUCAUUCUCAUAAAAUUUCUCCAAAACCUGGAGCUUUAAAACUUUGGAGAGGGGAGCAGCAGGAGGGUGUUUUGCUACUGCAACUGACAAGUUGUAGUUAAUAUCCAAUCCUGUCAGAAAUACAAUACAAGGAGCAUGUGUAUUUAAAUAUUCUACUCCACCAGCAAAGCAAAAUUCCACGAGAGUAUGGUGUUUAAUAAGGCACUGUUGAUAAGACAGAAACAUCUGCAAUACAAAUCAAUGUGUACGUUAGGCCUUUGCCAAGGUCUAUAUUACGCUGAUGUAGGAAAGUAGUUACAUAUUUUCACUUAAUAUUUCUUGUAGCACAUUCCUUACCCAGCCCAAGGGUUCUUGCCGUAGACCAUGCUGUACAGUGGGUACAUGUAUGUUUCAUGGCCAUUCCCCCAGAGAAAGCAUGGUGGUGAGAGGUGCUUUAGAUAUAGACAAACAAUGGCUUAGUUUGCUGCACCCUUUGCAGGGAAGAAGUAGGCUGCUGGCUUUGUACCUGGAAGACCCAUUAUUAGUUCACCUGGGACAAAUGUUCCCUCUAAUUGUUUCCAUCCAUGUGCAGAAUAAAUUGUAUGUGCACCAAGGCAUGUGUUGAUGUGCACCACUAGUAGAAACUCAUGCUGGGGGCUGGGGGUUCUGCUAAUCAGCUGGGUGGCAUUUGAAUCUCUCCUGCUUGGCUGCCCGAGCAGUCAGCUUAGAGCAGGCAUGUCCAAAGUCUGGCCCGCGGGCCAAUUGCGGCCCGUGUUCUGGUUUAAUACGGCCCCACAGGUAAUUUGGCAACAUCUAUC